ACAUGGCCUUUAAGUUUGAAUGCAGAUUCUGGGAAACUACCUCUUAAAGUUACUUUUACAUGUAUUUUUAAAUAAUUUUUGGAAUAUCCUAAUGAAGAGUACAUUUUGUGCUUCCAAUGAAAUCUUAUGUGUCAGUUUACUCAUUCAUGUAACACAAAUUUUGAUAUUCUACCAAAAAAAUUGGUAUUAUUUGAAAAAACAAAUGGCAUUUGAUGAUUUUUAAUUCUUUUACUGUGACCAUUUCCUCGUACAUUAUUAAGACGUACCCCAAUUUUCUUGUAAACGGGCUCUGAGUCGGUAUACAGGCUUGUCAGCAUCAAGAAAAAAAGUUCUGAGUCAGGCUUGUUCAUAACGAGUUGAGCUUGACAAGUCUGUGAAGGAAGACGCUCUACCUUGUUUAAAAAGUUCUCCAAGUAGCCAUGGCCUUGAUUUGCUAGUGCUGCAAAUGGCUGUGUGGCUUGUAAGUGCUAUAUUUGUACAUUCUUGUAGCUGUUUGUUUUUGGAAGUCGUCGCCUGCCAGGUAAUGGAAGUCUAAAUGCUACCUCCCAGUUUUGCCAGUGUGAUGUGUAAUUAUGUUAUUUUUACCUAAACUAAGGGCUGUGGUUAUUUUUAACAAAACAAACCACUAACCAUCAACCAAAUCUAUCUAUUAAUAUCAUGCUCUUUCCUAUCAUAACCCCGAGGGCCUGGGUGUGGCAGUUGAAUGCUUCCUCCGUUCCCUUUACAUGUGUUUUCCGUUACUUUUUAGCGUUUUUUUUUACUUUUCACCUAAUUUAAGGUGCAUCAAAAAGAUACUUCCGAUUAGUAAUUUAUGAGUCUUCUUUUUCGGAAUAGAGACAUUAAUCAUAAACUUUUGUUUACCAGUUUUCUCAUUUAUUAAAUUUAUUUCGGAAUAGAGACAUUAAUCAUAAACUUUUGUUUACCAGUUUUCUCAUUUAUUAAAUUUAUUUGUAUUUGAUUCAAGUUUUUGAAAAACAUAUCAAAAGUUUGGGGUAUUCAAUUGAAAUUUUAAAUCAUCCAAUUAAUUUAUUGUUAUUUAUUGAACUUGAAUUUUGUUUAAAUAUUUGAUUGAGAUUAUUUUAAAAUUUUAAAAAUUUGAUAGUAUAUUCUUCAAAAGUUUUUUUGAUAGUAUUUAAAUUUUGAUUGAUUUUUUUGGAAGUUUAUAUAAUGGAUUAUGUGGAUGAAUUUUGUGGGAUUACACAAAUUUUAUAUUUUUUGAAAUUUCAUCAUAAUUAAUGAAAUUUUGAAGUAUUGUACUUAAUCUAAAAAUUGUGUAUUGUCUUUGCGAUAUUCUAUUAUAAUUCCAUGUAAAAUGAAAAUCACAUAUGAUACAUUAUAAUUCAUAGGUCACCGUUAAUUCAUUAAAAUCACAAUUGAACACCCCGGCAGAUCUUUUUACCCUCUGGACUGAGAUACAUGAAGAAAAUAUUGUUUUCCCCAUUUAAAUUACAAUACAAUAUUCGUAUAUAAUAUUAAAUAUUGUUUAUAAUUUAUAAUACAAAAACAUGUCCGACAUUUCCAAGUACGAUGACCUCAGACGCUCUGGAUUUAUCUGAACUACCCAAGUUUGAACGGGCUUUCUAGACUGGGCUUGACGAUAAUAUCCAAAAACUAUCAAACUGUAAAAAAAAUACCACGAACCAAAGCCCACAUAAACUGAACAAGCAUUCCCAAGAUCCGAAAGUGAAGAAGAAGAGAAGAAGAAAAAUUAGAGAAAAAUGGUGUCUGCAAUCGCAUGGGGAUAUAUGAGAAUAAUGGGUGGCACUAUUCUUGGCGGCGUUCUUGGUUUCUAUGUUAUGCAUCGCCUCGAAAUUAGCUACAAGGCGAAGUGGGAUGAGAGAUUGAAGAAAUACGAGGAGGAUUUGAAGAAGAAGAAGAAGAGUGAGAUCGAUAGUGAGUUUACCUAGAGUUUAUAGAUUUUUAAUUUGUUUAUGUAUUUUUCUCUAAAAUGUGUUUCAUCCACAUUGUAGAUUUUGCAAGCUUAUAUUUCUUGGUAUCUUGUUU